AUACGGGGGGUGCAAGCGUUGUCCGGAAUCAUUGGGCGUAAAGGGUUCGUAGGUGGAAUUAUAAGUCUGGUGUGAAAGCCCACAGCUCAACUGUGGAACUGCACUGGAUACUGUUUUUCUUGAGUUAUAGAGGGGUUUGUGGAAUUUCUGGUGUAGAGGUGAAAUUUGUAGAGAUCAGAAAGAACACCGGUGGCGAAGGCGACAAACUGGCUAUUAACUGACACUGAGGAACGAAAGCGUGGGGAACGAACAGGAUUAGAAACCCCAGUAGUCC
rnacentral:rRNA from 1 species